rnacentral:rRNA from 1 species
GUCUACAGCCAUACCACCCUGAACGCACCCCAUCUCAUCUGAUCUCAGAAGUUAAGCAGGGUUAGGCAUGGUUAGUACUUGGAUGGGAGAAAUGUGUGAGAUCUUUAUGAAGAAAAUU